rnacentral:tRNA from 1 species
GGUGCCUUGCCCGAGCGGUGAGGGAGCGGCCUGCAAAGCCGGACAGGCGGGUUCGACUCCCGCAGGCACCU